rnacentral:rRNA from 1 species
GACGUAGGGCGCGAGCGUUGUCCGGAUUUAUUGGGCGUAAAGAGCUCGUAGGCGGCUUGUCGCGUCAACUGUGAAAACCCGUGGCUCAACCAUGUGGUCUGCAGUCGAUACGGGCAGGCUAGAAUUCGGUAGGGGAGACUGGAAUUCCUGGUGUAGCGGUGAAAUGCGCAGAUAUCAGGAGGAACACCGGUGGCGAAGGCGGGUCUCUGGGCCGAUAUUGACGCUGGAGGAGCGAAAGCGUGGGGAGCGAACAGG